AACGAACGCUGGCGGCAUGCCUAACACAUGCAAGUCGAACGAGACCUUCGGGUCUAGUGGCGCACGGGUGCGUAACGCGUGGGAACCUGCCCUUAGGUUCGGAAUAACUCCCCGAAAGGGGUGCUAAUACCGGAUAAUGUCUUCGGACCAAAGAUUUAUCGCCUUUGGAUGGGCCCGCGUUGGAUUAGCUAGUUGGUAGGGUAAAAGCCUACCAAGGCGACGAUCCAUAGCUGGUCUGAGAGGAUGAUCAGCCACACUGGGACUGAGACACGGCCCAGACUCCUACGGGAGGCAGCAGUAUGGAAUAUUGGACAAUGGGCGAAAGCCUGAUCCAGCAAUGCCGCGUGAGUGAUGAAGGCCUUAGGGUUGUAAAGCUCUUUUACCCGGGAUGAUAAUGACAGUACCGGGAGAAUAAGCUCCGGCUAACUCCGUG
rnacentral:rRNA from 1 species